rnacentral:tRNA from 1 species
CGGCCGGCGGCGAUCGGCUCGGCGGUCGGGGCCGGCUCCGGACCGGGCUCUGCCGGCCCGAUGCUCGGCUUCGGUUCGGCUUCGCCCGGCCGU